UUCCAUCUAAAGCUAAAUAUUGGCGAGAGACCGAUAGCGAACAAGUACAGUGAUGGAAAGAUGAAAAGAACUUUGAAAAGAGAGUGAAAAAGUACGUGAAAUUGUUGAAAGGGAAGGGCUUGAGAUCAGACUUGGUAUUUUGUAUGUUACUUCUUCGGGGGUGGCCUCUACAGUUUAUCGGGCCAGCAUCAGUUUGGGCGGUAGGAGAAUUGCGUUGGAAUGUGGCACGGCUUCGGUUGUGUGUUAUAGCCUUCGUCGAUACUGCCAGCCUAGACUGA
rnacentral:rRNA from 1 species